UAGUGUUUGAUUCCUGGCUCAGRGCGAACGCUGGCGGCAGGCUUAACACAUGCAAGUCGAGCGGGCAUAGCAAUAUGUCAGCGGCAGACGGGUGAGUAACGCGUGGGAACGUACCUUUUGGUUCGGAACAACUGAGGGAAACUUCAGCUAAUACCGGAUAAGCCCUUACGGGGAAAGAUUUAUCGCCGAAAGAUCGGCCCGCGUCUGAUUAGCUAGUUGGUGAGGUAAUGGCUCACCAAGGCGACGAUCAGUAGCUGGUCUGAGAGGAUGAUCAGCCACAUUGGGACUGAGACACGGCCCAAACUCCUACGGGAGGCAGCAGUGGGGAAUAUUGGACAAUGGGCGCAAGCCUGAUCCAGCCAUGCCGCGUGAGUGAUGAAGGCCCUAGGGUUGUAAAGCUCUUUUGUGCGGGAAGAUAAUGACUGUAYCGCWUKWUWUUKCC
rnacentral:rRNA from 1 species